AAGUCGUCGCCCUUGAGAUCGACAGAAGCUGCCCUGGCCGGUGGACCGCUGCUACGUGGAGCAUGUCGGUUGGCGAUUCAGAGUUUCGAAAGGACGGGGAGGUGAAAUCUGCUGAUAUUGCCCCCUCCAAUGCGUUGGAUCUUAGGUCUUUCUUUGUUGGCCACCCAUCUCUCAGCUCCUGCCAUGGUGAUGUUCUCUACCUCAUGGCACUGUGGCCAAGGCUAGCCUAUAUGCACUUGACCGCGAGUCGAUCGUGAUUGCUGUUGACAUGAAGAACAUGAAGAUGGGGCGAGUUGCGAAGUACACCAUGCAAAGAACAGGCUGCAUUAUCUUCGCCUACAUGCACACUACCAUCUCCAAGUAUCUCGCUCCACCACGAGAUUCAAAAGGUAACAUGAAACGACGAGGGCAGAUCUUGCUGGGAUCCUUUCACAAGAAGCCGCAUGUGAUUACUUUCAUGUCCGGGCAUGGCGACGACCAAGUGGAAGGAGCGGGUGAUCACAUGUACGAUCUGCCAUCAAUGAGCGACGAUGAGGAUAAUAUGGAAUUGGGAUAAGUCACUGCUUUUUCAUAAGCUCUGAAUAUGGUAACAAGAAAAAAAAUGGUAUUAUUGUGAUGGCACACGCACAAGGGGAAUCCUGCGCUAUUGCCCAGAUAAAGUACCCUCAUGCUGAAAAGCUAUAUGGAUCCUUCUUGUGGAAAGACUUACUUAAGCAAGUUGAUAAUUUCAGAGGAGUUUCAGUGGUUAAACCGGGUGUUGGUAAUACUUUUCAUUUUUGGGAAGAUAAGUGGGUUCUAUCUGAUGCUGUUCAUCCACUUAAGUGUUGAGAUGUCCUAGAAUAUUCUCAUUUGUUCGGAAUGUUAAUCUUUGUUCGGAAUGUUAAUCUUUUGGCUGCUCAAGUCUAUGCUCAUUCAGAGUUUCUGGAUUUA